CCCUUCCGCACUCUAGCCUUGCAGUAUCAGCUGCUGUUCUUCCGUUAAGCAGAAGGCUUUCACAACUGACUUACAAGGCCGCCUACGUGCUCUUUACGCUCAAUAAUUCCGAACAACGCUUGCCGCCUCUGUAUUACCGCGGUUGCUGGCACAGAGUUAGCCGUGGCUUCCUCCGGAGCCUUAGUCAAGUAAGGAUACUAUUAACACCCUUA
rnacentral:rRNA from 1 species